rnacentral:rRNA from 1 species
GCGCGAAAACUCUGCAAUGCGCGAAAGCGUGACAGGGGGAAUCUGAGUGGUACGCAUUUUAGCGUAUCUUUUGCCAAGACCAAAUAUCUUGGAGAAUAAGUUCUGGGCAAGACCAGUGCCAGCCGCCGCGGUAACACCGGCAGAGCAAGUGGUAUCCACGAAUAUUGGGCCUAAAGAGCUCGUAGCCGGCCUCUUAAGUUUCCUGUGAAAUCUCCGGGCUUAACUCGGAGGCGCGCAGGGAAUACUGAGGGGCUUGGGAGCGGGGGAGGUCUAGAGUACUUUCGGGGUAGGGGUAAAAUCCUAUAAUCCUGAAAGGACUCCCAGUGGCGAAGGCGCUAGACCAAAACGCGUCCGACGGUGAGGAGCGAAGGCUAGGAGAACGAAUCGG